rnacentral:lncRNA from 1 species
UCGCAUAUCCAAUGUGAGACUUCACACUUGAAUAAACCCAACAGGUACACCUAUAAGGGCUUUUGGAAUGUCUAAGGAACAACAUCCUAAGGUAGAGUUGUAAGGUAUAGUGGAUGUUUUAACAAACUCUAGACUCCCUAUAAAGUAUCUAAAUUGUAACUCUUCGAAAGAAUAGAAACCCAAGUAUUAUGGGGUUAGAAACAAGAGUUAUGCUCGAGCCCGUAACUCACAAUAUUUGGUAACAUUCUGAGUGGUCCACAUGACCUGUAACACCGCG